rnacentral:rRNA from 1 species
UACGUAGGGGGCAAGCGUUGUCCGGAUUUAUUGGGCGUAAAGAGCUCGUAGGCGGCUUGUUGCGUCGACCGUGAAAACCCGGGGCUCAACUUCGGGCUUGCGGUCGAUACGGGCGGGCUAGAGUUCGGUAGGGGAGACUGGAAUUCCUGGUGUAGCGGUGAAAUGCGCAGAUAUCAGGAGGAACACCGGUGGCGAAGGCGGGUCUGUGGGCCGAUACUGACGCUGAGGAGCGAAAGCGUGGGGAGCGAACAGG